AAAUGAAAGACACAUUUAAACAUAUGAAAUUAGUAGUAGUGUGUCUUUACUCUGCUCAGGUGUCUACAGGUGGUCGUACCUGUUGGGGUUUUACUAUUAACCUCUGUAGUAAUAAAAACGUUUUUCAUUAGGAACUCUUCAAACUUGGAUCCAAAAAGCUCCACAGGAAGCAUCUGAUGAAGUAAUGAGAUGAAAUCGAAUCAGGACAGAUAAGACGGACUUCAUUAUACUAAACAGGUCUCACCUGUCAGGAUGGACGGAGGACGACGCUUGCCAAUAGGCCUUCUCUACACCUGAGGCUGGUCACCUGAUGAUGCUGGCGGAGGUCAUGUGACUCCUCACUCACAGGUGGAGGAUGAUCUGUGAUGAGACAUGUGGAUCAUCUCAGUUUGUGGGGGGUUGAGCAGGUAUUAGAGGGCUGUGGGGGUUUAAAGGGGUAUUUGAAGGGGUAUUACACUAAUCAUGGUGUCAGUGUUCCCAUUAGGCUUACGGCAGCAGGGGGCUUACAGAGGAGGGGUCACAUCUGGCUUCAGCUAUUGUCUGAACUGUUUACAAUCUGUGUCUCAUACAAAGAAGGCCGAGAAUGGAAAGUACAUGUACUCAAACACUGUAAUUUUGAGGUUCUAACUCAUUGUACUAAUACCACACUGUCAAAGUGUUCGCUUACAAGUUGAAAUUCUGCGUUGAGAAUGUUACUUAAGUAAAAGUACAUGAGUAUUUUUACAAAGAGUUACUUAAAUUAAUUAAAACAAAAGGGCUCAGUGCAGAAAAAUGUUUCAUUUGACUUUUAUUCUAAAAUGUACAUUAUCACUAUUUUAAACUAUAAUAUCAAAUUAAACUAGUGAGCUUUCAUUAGCUAAACUUGUUAGAAAUUAAUGCUAGCUGGAGCGGUAAACUAGCAAGCUAAUGUCAGCUAAACAUGCUAUCAGCUAAUGAACAUGGUAUAAACUAAUGUUAGUCAGUUAAUCUUAAGCCUAACACAGCUAGACAAAUGAGCUAAUGUCAGCUCAACGUGAAAAAGCAAUGUUAGCUAGUUUACCUUAACUUAGCUAUAAUAGAAAGUCAUUGUUCGCAAAACAUGCUAUAAAUGGAUAUUAGCUCAUUUAGAUUUAGCUUAUUUAAGCUAAACUAGCAAACACACAUUAGCUCGACAUGUUACAAAACUAGUGUUAGCUAGUUUACUUUAAAGGGGAACUUUGUUUUUUUUCAACCUGGGGUCUGUUUCCAUAUGUAAUUUCAUACAUGUGAGUGAUGGAGAAAUGAAUUUUCGACAUAGCUCCAGUAUUUAGCCAGGCAGCGUACAGACCACAACAAAGAGCGAUCGCCAGGUAAUGUGGAGGUUUUCGUUCACUUCUCAUCUCUAGUAUGUUGUGGGACACUCAUUGAGACUAUCUGAGCUGGCCAGUGUGGGGCAAAAGCACGUUAGGGCGGACUUUGAUGCGGGGGGGCCAGCUGCUCCAUACUUUUCGCUAGCCGAGCUGCUAGCUGAGCUGCUAAGCUGCCUGCCUGGCUAAAUACUGGAGCUAUGUCGAAAAUCCAUUUCUCCAUCACUCACAUGUAUGAAAUUACAUAUGGAAACAGACCCCAGGUUGAAAAAAACCGAAGUUCCCCUUUAAGCUUAACUAAAGUAGGGAAACAAUGUUAGCUAAACAUGUUAAAAAUUGAUAUUAGCUAAUUUAGAUUGUUUAUUUAAUGUAAACUAGCAAGCUAACAUUAGCUGGCCAUGUUACAAACUAAUGUUAGCUAGUUUAUUUUAAGCUUACCAAAGCUAUAGUAAAGAGACUGUUAGCUAAACAAGCUAUAAACUAAUGUUAGUUAGUUUCGUUUAAGCUUAGCUAAGCUAAACUAGUAAGCUAACAUCAACUAGACAUGUAACAAACAAAUACUAGUUAAUUCUUUUACAAUUUAGCUCUAAAUUUACACUGUUUUACUGUAUUUGAAUCAAAAUAGAAAAAAUACAUGUUUAGCUAACAGAUAUUUGGAAUUAUUUUAACCAUUUUUAACAAAUUUACGCUAUAUUGCUGCAUUUAAAUCUGCUAAAACAUAAUUAUUUUACAGAUAUUUGUCAUUAUUUUCAUUGUUUUUGAUGAUUACAGUUAAUUUUGGCAUCACUGCUGUCAGAUUUUCUUGGUUUCUUUACCUGUUUUCUUUCCUAUUAGAACUAUUUUAUGUUGGAAGUUGAAUGUUCGUGUUCUCGGGGUGAAGAACCUUUAGAAGUAGCGUCGGUUCCGUGUGAAUCCAGCGGUGAGAAGCGUUCUGAGGUUCUUUAAAUCUGCAGAACAAAGAGCAGCUCAUCCUCCGACAGCAUCUCCUCCACUAAUCCUCGGCAGGUUUAACUCUCUGGACCUUUCAUGUCCAGACGCUGACCUUCAUCACAGCAGAGACCUGAAGUCUUUGUCCUGGAAGAAAAGCAGCAUCAUGAGAAGCUCAAACCCUCUGAGGUUCAAUCACAGAGAAAACAGGAUUAGCUUCACCUGAGAACCAGUCAGGUAGAAGAACAGGAAGACGAAGGUUCAGACUGCAGGUUCAGAAGCUGAAGCCGACAGAAGAUGGAAACUCAGAAGAAGCUUAAUAAAACUUCGGACUCUGAAAAAUACUGAAAACCAUCAGAACUCAAACAGCAGGUUCCUCAGACAUUUGACCUUCCAGAAAACGUUGAGCAGGUGUCACAUCACUGAAGCUCCGUCCAGCCGUAGGACCGGAGGUGUUAGCGGUGAUGCUAAGCUAACUGGGUGUGAGGUGCAACAGCAGGUCGACCUCGGCUUGUAAAAGGGAAACGAGCCGUCAGCAGCUGUUAAAGCUUCACUGGGAGGGUAAUUUAAAACAGAAGUCUGGAGGACUUUACAGGCUGCAGCUCAAAGCAGGUCCAGAUCUAUCAGGAGGAAAACCGUUUGCUAGGAAGAAACACAAACAUCCUGUUUUAAUCAGGAUCAAGGUUUUACACCCAGAAGAUCUGAGUCAGUAAAUAUUAAAUAAGUGCUGUUAGAGAGUCCUGAUGGGACGCCGUUUAACUGAGAAAACACACGUAAUAAACACACUUAAUAAAGUUCAGUGUAUUGUUUUUGUUUACAAUAGAAUUAAGCAAAAAUUCCCGUUGCUUUGUCUCAGUUUCGUUGUUUAAUGUCUAAUUUGUGUAUUUUUGUGUCCAGUUUGAGUUGCUUUCUCUUGUUUUUGUCAUUUCUGGGGCUCGCAUGUUUUUUAAUCUUGUUUUUUUGUUGCGUUUGUGUUGUUUCAUCUCGUUUUUUUUUUAAUUUUGUCUCUCAUUCCUGUUGCUCUGCUUGUAUUUGUUGUUUUGUGUCUUGUUUUUGUCAUUUAGUGUCUUUUUUGUGUUCCUUUGUCUCCCUUAUGUCGCUUUGCAUCUCACUUUUGUCAUUUUGAUUCUUGUUUGUGUUACUUCAGGUGUUUUUUGUCAUUUGUCUCGUUUUUAUCGUUUUGUGUCUCCUUUGUGUUGUUUUGUGUCUGUCAUUUUUCCCUGUUUGUUGUCAUUGUGUGUUUUUUUGUGUGCGUUUUGGGGUCUUGUUUGAUCUUUUUUUGUCUUGUUUUUGUCAUUUUGUUUCUUGUUUUUGUUAUUUUGUGUCUGGAUUGUGUUUCUGUGUCUCUAAAAUGUCAUUUUGUCUCUCUUUUUUGUCACUUUGUGUCUUACUUUUGCGUUUUUGGUCCUUGUUUUGUGUUUUUGGUUCUUGUUUGUGUCAUUUUGUGUCUCAUUUGUGUUGCUGUGACUAAUUUCUCAUAUCAUGGCUUGUACUUGUCAUUUUGUGUCUUGUUUUUGUCGCUUUGUGUCUCAUUUUGUUGCUUUGUGUCUUGUUUUUGUUUCGUUUUUGCCAUUAUGUGUCUGGUUUUUGCUGUUCAUGUCUCAAUCUUUUCGUUUUUCCUGGUUUUUGUCGUUUGGUGUCUAGUUUGUGUUGUUUUUGUUGUUCUGCUCUUUUUAAUUUUUUGUUUUAUUGUUUUUCAUUUUUGUCAUUUUAUUCAAUUUUUGUUGUUUUGUGUCUUGCUUUUUUAUUUUUUGUCUUAUUGCAUUUCAUUUUUGUCAUUUUAUAUAAUUUGUGUUGUUUUGUGUCAUUUCAGUCGUUGUUUUUAAUGUCAUGUGUGAUGCAUGAUGUUGUUUUGCACGUUGUGUGUCGUUGAGUCUCUAAUUUGUUGUUUUCUGUCUCAUUUUUGACAUUUUGAUUCUCGCUUUCGUUGUUUUGUGUCUACUUUGUGUUGCUUUGUUGCUAUUUGUCAUUAUAUCACGCUUUGCUUGUCACUGUGUGUCUUAUUUUUGUGUUUUGCAUCUUGUGCUGUCUUUUUUCCCAUUUUUUCUUGAUUUUUGUCGUUCUGUGUUGCUGUGUCUUUAGUUUAUCAUCUUGUGUCUUGUAUUUGUCACUUUGUGUCAUAUUUUGUGUUUAGUUUCAUCAUUUGUUGUCUUGUUUUUGUUGUUUCAUGUCUAGUUUGUGUUUCUUUGUCUCUAAUAUGUCAUUUUGUCUCUUAAAUGUCAGUGUGUGUCUUAUUUUUUGUGUUUUUGGUAUUGGUUUGUCUUGUUUUCGUCAGUUUUAGGCUCAAUGUGCUGUUGCUGUGUCUUUAACUUCUCAUUUUGUGUUUUGUUGUUGUUGUUUUGAAUCUUGUUUGUGUUGCUGUGUCUCUAAUUUGUUGUUUUCUGUCUUGUUUUUGCCAUUUUUGUAUACUUUAUGACAAUUUAUUCCUCAUUUUUGCCAUUCUGUGUCUGUAUUUCUGUUUUGUGUAGUCUUGUGUUUAUGUUCUUUCGUUCCUAGUUUGUGUUGUUUUAUUCUGUUUCUGUUUGUUUCUCAUUUUGUGUUUCGUGUCAUUUCAUUUUUGUCAUUUUGUGUCUUUCUGUGUUUUUUUACACAGUUUCUGUGUUAUGUCUCUUUUAUGUCUCCAAACACUCGGAGAUAUAAUUUGAUGUUUAACUGUGAUGAUGAAAUAUCUUAUCUUCUUUCUGUUUUCAUUAUUUAACAGAAUAUUUUCUAAUUUAAACAUGAUUUCUGGGUCAAACGGUGCUCCACAGUUAAACUCCAACAGCCUCUUUCUCUGCAUGGUUUCCUAAAAGCUCCACUUGUUCAGACUGGGGUGUUUCCUGUCAGAGUUGUUGAUUCUGGAUCGAACUCCGGAGACGUCUCUGAAAGUUCUCUGCAGUGGGCUGAUAACCGGCUCAGGUGGGUUCAGGUUGUUGGAGGUGAGUUUUCAGCCCGUGGUGAAGCAGAUUAAGCAGCUAUCAGCGGCUCAGGUGUUCCUCGGCGAGCCAAAGCGAGGCUGAUCUGAGAACAGCGAGGCCUGAGUGGGAGGUUCAAUCCUUCACGGCUGUUUGUCUGUUUGAGGCCUCGGAGAAACUCUGUCACAGUUUAGUGGAAAACCGCAAACAGGGCGGCAGGUUUCAGGACGCAGUUAAAGAUCCACCACAGAUCAGAGUUCUACAGCAGGAAGGACAAAGAAAACCUGGAGAUUCACAGAAACAUUAAACCUACAGAAGAUCUGAGCUGAGUGAAGAAACAUUUCAGAUGAAACUGAUCAGUGAACGCGUUUAUACCAACUCCAGAUAUCCUGAAAACGUUUCUUCCUCUGAAACAUAAACUGAAAAUGAUCGACUGAAUCCAACUGAUAGAAACUCGGAAUUCAUUUCAUCAUUUCGUUGUCGUUUUGUGUUUCCCUAAUGUCUUUUCUCUUUGGUUUGGUUUUUGUCGUUCUGUGUUUCAUUUUCGGCAUUGUCGGUCUCCGUAAUGUAGUUUUCGGCACAUUUUUGGCACAUUUUUGUCAAGUUUUGUCUUGUUUUCAUCAUUUUAGGGGUCGAUUGUGUUACUUUGUCCCAUUUUUGUUGUUUUUGUGUCUGAUUUUUUUCACUAUAUGUCUCCUUUAAUGUAGUUUUUGUCAUGUUUUCUGUUGUUUUUAUCUUGUUUUUAUCAUUUUAGGGGUUGAUUGUGUUACUUUGUCCCAUUUUUGUUGUUUUUGUGUCUGUUUUUGUCACUGUAUUUCUCCAUAAUGUAGUUCUUGUCAUGUUUUCUGCUGUUUUUCAUCUAGGUCGUGAUAAUCGUAGGAGGUUCAGUAGAAAUCGCCUGGAUAUCUCUUGUAGGUUCUUGAAGACGUUUCACUUUCAUCCAAGAGGUUUCUUUGGUUCUGAUGGGAGUUUUGGUGGUUUGCUUUGGUCGUUUUAUGUCUCGAUUUUGUUGUUUUGUGUCUCAUUUUUGUCCAUCUGGGGCUUGUCUGCAUUGCUUUGUCUAGUUGUUGCCAUUUUGUGUCUCGUUUUUGUCAUUUUGGUCUUGUUUUUGUAGCUCUGUGUCUUGUCUUCAUCUCUUCUAAAAGCAGUCGUCUCACCCAGCGGGUCGAUGAUCUCAGAUCGUGGUGAAAUCAGAGAGUAAAGUGUGUUUGCUGAGGAUCUGAAUCCGUCCUCAGCAGCAGGUUUCUGUCUCCGGCUGACGUCCAGGCGUUUUUUUUAGCCUCCCUGUGUUUACGUAGGAACCAGAGUCGGGUCAGGACGUCCCGACGGGUUGCUUUAGGAGGUUUAUUCUCCCCCAGGACAGAAAGCGAAGCAUGAGAAAUGAAGACGGCGACACGUGCAGUCUGAGGAUUUUACAGAUAUCUGAUCUGAGCGAUAAAAGACGGUAAAGAAACUUCUUAAAGCUCCUCUCUUGUGUCUCCGAGGCGCCUGUGGUGGUUCUUUCUCUACAUAAAACAUGUCCGCCCACGUGUUGGUAUGAAAACAGUCUGCAGCAGACAAUGAGGACGUCCUACGAGCUGCAUAAGCCUGUCAGCCUGCGGAUGGAAGAAGAAUGAGCGGAGUGACGAGGGAAGUUUCUGGAAGAAGAAGGUCCACUCCUCCUUUAGACGCUGUCAGACCUACAGGAUCUGUGUUUUAAUCUGAGCGUGGGAGGAUCUGGUCUGCAGAAACAAAACCUCCAACUGCAGCAGGAGGGUUCAGGAGGUGGAUUAAAGCAGAACCGAGAGUCGUCGACCCGGUUUGAUCCCAGAAAGACACCGAGAAUGACCCGCUGGCAUCUUCUCCUCAGGUUCACAACAUCUGCAGGUUCUGGAGGAACAUCCUUCAUCAGGGUUUCUGGUUCCUCCCAGAGGAUCCUGAGGUGUUCCCAGGCCUGAUGAGAUAUGCAGAAGUGACAUGAAAUUACCACAAAAUACACAAAAUGACCAUAAAUAGACACAAAACAACAACAAAUGGAUCCAAAGUGACUACAAAUAGACACAACAUGACAUAAAAAGACACAAAAUGAACACAAUUAAAUGCAGAAUGAUCACAAAAUGAUGAAAAAGAGACACAAAGUGACUACAAAGUGACACAAAAUGAAUAGAAAAUACACAAAUUGACCAUAAAUAGACACAAAUUGAUCAGAAGUGGAUGCAGAACAGCAACAAAUGGACACAAAGUGACUAUAAAUAGACACAACGAGACAUAAAAUGACCACAAUUAGAUGCAGAACGAUCACAUAAUGACCAAAAAGAAAUAGAAUUUUUUUUAAAAAGAGGCACAAAUUGGCCCAGAUAAGCAUAAAAUGACAAUUAAUAGACACAAAAUGACUACAAACAGACACAAAAUGAACAAAAAGAACAGAAAAUUAUCACAAAUACACAAAAUAACCACAAAGAGACUCAAAAUUACCAAAAGAAACACAAAAACAACCACAAAUAGACACACAAUUAUCACAGAGACAUAAAAUGACCACAAAAAUAAAUAAAAUGACUAAAAAUAGACACAAAAUGACAACAAAUAGACAUAAAAUGGCUCAAAAAGAUAAAAUUACCAUAAACAUGUGCAAAAUGACCCCAAAGACACACAAAAUGACAAAAAUUACACAAAAGGCACAAAAUGUUUCACAUGACACACAAAAUGAACACAAACAGACACAAAAUGACUACAAACAGAUACAAAACGACCAAAACAGAAACAAAAUAAUCACAAAGAGACAUAAAAUGACUAAAAAGAGACACAAAGUUACCACAAAUAAACAAAUGACCAAAAACAAACACAAAAUGGCUAAAAAUAGACAAAAAAUUACCAUAAAUAGACACAGAAUGACCACAAAUAGACAUAAAAUGACUAAAAAGAGGCAAAAUUACCACAAACAGAUGCAAAAUUACCUCAAAGGAGACACAAAAUUAACAUAAAAAGAUGCAGCAUGACUACAAAUAGAUACAAAAUGAUCAAAAUAGACACAAAAUUACCACAAAUACACAAAGUUACCACAAAUAAACACAACAUGACACAAAGAGACACAAAGCAAUAAAAAAAAAGACACAGAGGGGGGGAAAAAAUGAAAAUAGACAUAAAAUGGCCAAAAAGAGAUGCAAAAUGAACACAAGUGGACACAAAAUCACCACAAAGAAAUGCAAAAUAUCCAUAAACACUAAAUGCAACAGAUAAAAGGGGAGGAUGAUGAGGAAGAUGAAGAGGAGGAGAUGUGGAAACCAAACAGUUCUUCAUAGUUUAACUUUUACUGGAGCCAUAGAGACAUCAGGUGUGUGUGUUAGUGUGUCUGUGUCACUGUGUGUGUGUGUGUGUGUGUGUGUGUGUGUGUGUGUGUGUGUGUGUGUGUGUGUGUGUGUGUGGGUGUGUGUGUGUGUGUGGGUGCGAUCGGUAACAGAAGGUUAAAUCUGUGUUAAAUCCAGAGUUCUCAGUCUUUGCAGUGAUUUAAAGGUGUUGUUUGUUGUUUGUUGUUGUCGAGCCCUGCAGCGCUAUGAACAGGUGGGUCAAAUACGUCCAUAUGGGGAGAACACACACACACACACACCGCUACUGAGCAUGUGUAGUACAACACACACACGGGGAGGAAACCUGGUGUUUAAAUGAGCCGAUGAGAACUGUGAGAUUCAAUCUGCUGCUGAGGUCCUCCUGUAUCUCCACCUGCUCUGCUCAACAUAUACAUUCAUAUACCAUCACAUUUACUGCAUGUUGCUUUAUGAGUGUACGUUAAUUUAUGACAGCGUACGUUUUUUUUUGAGAGUACGUUAAUUUAUGAGGGCGUACGUUAUUUUAUGAGUGUAUGUUAAUUUAUGACAGCUUACGUUAUUUUAUGAGCGUACAUUAAUUUAUGACAGCGUACGUUAUUUGGGAGUAUGGUAGCGUACGUUAUUUUGUGAGUGUACAUUAAUUUAUGACAGCGUACGUUAUUUGGGAGUAUGGCAGCGUACGUUAUUUUGUGAGUGUGCGUUAAUUUAUGACAAUGUACGUUAUUUUAUGGGUGUACGUUAAUUUAUGACAACAUAUGUUAUUUUGUGAGUGUACGUUAAUUUAUGACAACGUACGUUAUUUGGGAGUAUGGCAGCGUACGUUAUUUUGUGAGUGUACGUUAAUUUAUGACAGUGUACAUUAUUUUGUGAGUGUACGUUAAUUUAUGACAAUACGUUAUUUUAUGGGUGUACGUUAAUUUAUGACAACAUAUGUUAUUUUGUGAGUGUACGUUAAUUUAUGACAAUGUACGUUAUUUUGUGAGUGUACGUUAAUUUAUGACAAUGUACGUUAUUUUAUGGGUGUACGUUAAUUUAUGACAACAUAUGUUAUUUUGUGAGUGUACGUUAAUUUAUGACAACGUAUGUUAUUUGGGAGUAUGGCAGCGUACGUUAUUUUGUGAGUGUACGUUAAUAUAUGACAGUGUACAUUAUUUUGUGAGUGUACGUUAAAUUAUGACAACAUACGUUAUUUUGUAAGUAUACAUUAAUUUAUGACAGCGUACGUUAUUUUGUGAGUGUACGUUAAUUUAAGAGUGUACUUUUUUAAGACGUUUGUUAUUUUAUGAAUGCAUGUUAUUCUGUGGAAGUUUGUGAUAAUAUAUGUUUUUGUGAUAAUGUACGUUAUUUUAUGACGUCUGCUUUUGUGACAAGGUACGUUAUUUUGUGAUAUGUACAUUAUGUUGUGACAACGUAUUUUAUUUCUUGAGUGUACGAUAUUUUAUGAAUGUACGUUAUUUUGUGAAUGUAUGAUAUUUUGUGACAAUGUACGUUAUUUUAUGAACACGUAAUUUUGUGACAACGUAUGUUUUUGUGAUAAUACACAUUUUUUGGGAAAACAUACAUUAUUUAAUGACAUUGCACGUAACUUUUAAGCGUUCGUUAUUUUGUGACAUCUGUUUUUGUGACAAGGUACGUUAUGUUGUGACAACGCAUGUUAUUUCAUGAGUGUAAGUUAUUUUCUGAGUGUACGUUAUGUUGUGACAUCGUACAUUAUUUUGUGAGACUUUCUUUGUUAGAACAUACAUUAUGUCAUUGCGUACGCUGUUUUGUGACAGCGUAUGAUGUUUUGUGACAACAUUCAAUAGCUUACUUUGCAACAGUGUACGUUAUUUACUACGUUUGUUUUCCGAUAUUUUAUUAGUGUACGUUACUUUUUAAGCAUUAUUGUGUCACAGUGUAUAAUAAUUAUUGAAUUUACUUUUUCAACAGUGCACGUUGUUUACAGUAUUUUGUUGGAGCAUCUGCUGUUUUAUGAGUUUACUUUUUAAACGUACGUUAUUGUAUGACAGUGUACGUUUAUUUGUGAAUUUACUUCUCAGAGUCAAUCGUUUAUGUUAAUUUGAGCCCAUUAUAUUUAGUGACUUUUUAACUAUGUACAUUGUUUUGCCAUCAGAUAAACUCGGGUGUUUGAGUUGAUUUUCCUCCCGGUGUUUCAGUUUCAGGUGUAUAGAGAACCAGAGCAGCCUUUCUUUCUGUCUUUCUUUCUUUCUUUCUUUCUUUCUACAGCCAGUUGAAGGUUUCCAGCAGCAGAACAGAAACUCUGAAUCUGUUCAAACAGAGUGGUGGUGGCUGCAGCAGGUGGUGACGCCGGUGGCAGCAGACCUCUGAGGCCUGAUCCUGGAUCUGCGUCGCAUAUGGAGCUGCUGCCGCCGCACACGCAACCUUUGAAGACGGUCGCAUUAAAAGUUCGACUCGACCAUCUGCCUGCCGCCUGCAGUCAGCGCUCUGUCAACACGACGCUUGUUCUCUUGUUGACUUCACCUGUUUGAAGCAGCUUCCACCUCCAUCAUCACCGGAGUCUCUCAGUUUCACCAAAACCAAACAGCGCAGCGUUUCAGGUGGAAUCUGUCCAGAGAUCAGGUUUAACUGAGUUUCAGAACGCCGUCUGAACAUCAAGAGUUUAGUUAGUGCAGCUACUGAGUCUGCUGGAAACUGUACUUGUGUGCUGCUGACCUCCAGGUUUCUCUUGUACAUUGUUAAGUAGAUUAAAACUAUUUUAUAUAAUUUUCAACUUCAUUCAAGUGAUUUUGGACAAGUUUUGUGUCAGUUUGCACAUAUUUUAUGUUGUUUUUCUGCUUUAUUCCUCAUUUUAGACACAUUUUUCUGUUCUUUUUUCAGGGAUUUUGAACUAUUUCUGAGUCUUUGUGGACAAAUUUUGUGUCACUGUGUAUGUAUUUUAAGUCAUUUUUGACAUUUUCUUGUAAUUUUAAACACAUUUUAAGUCUUUUUCUGCUUUUUUGAUCAUUUUUUGGUCAUUUUAAACAUAUUUUGCAACAUUUUGGCCAUUUUCUUGUCAUUUUAGACAUGUUUUAUGUCUUUUUUCAGCUUUUUUGUCAUUUUAAAAACUUUUUAAAUAAUUUUUUCUUCUGUGUUUUUCAUUGUAGACAUCUUUUAAGUCGUCUGCUUUUCUUGGUUGUUUAGACAUAUUUUAAAACAUUUUGGAAAUCUUCUUGUCAUGAUGAACUAAUUUUAUGUCAUUUUGAACUAUUGGUGAGUCUUUGUGGGCAUGCUUUGUAUCAUUUUGUAUGUAUUUUAGGCAUUUUAGACACACUUUAUGUAUUUUUUCUGCUUUACUGUCAUUUUAGACCCAUUUUAAGUCAUAUUCUGCUUUAUUAGUCAUUCUAAAAAUGUAUUAUUUCUUUUUUCUUCUUUUUUGGGGUAAUUUCAAACAUAUUUUACAACAUUUUGGCGGGACUGACAAAAAACUGUCCAAAACCUGUUAUUGAAGGACCUUCAUAGUUUCAUAGAAACCAGACCAGCAGCUUUUUAGGUGCAUUUUUAUCUGAAGAAGAACUGUUGACUUCUGAUGAAAUGUUAAUGUUAAUGUUACAUCUACAGGACAUUAAAAACUGCCUAUUAAGUUUG